rnacentral:rRNA from 1 species
UGGGGAAUAUUGGACAAUGGGCGAAAGCCUGAUCCAGCCAUGCCGCGUGAGUGACGAAGGCCUUAGGGUUGUAAAACUCUUUCGUCGGGGACGAUAAUGACGGUACCCGAAGAAGAAGCUCCGGCUAACUUCGUGCCAGCAGCCGCGGUAAUACGAAGGGAGCUAGCGUUGUUCGGAAUCACUGGGCGUAAAGCGCACGUAGGCGGAUAGUUAAGUCAGGGGUGAAAUCCCGGGGCUCAACCUCGGAACUGCCUUUGAUACUGCGGAUCUCGAGUCCGAUAGAGGUGAGUGGAAUUCCUAGUGUAGAGGUGAAAUUCGUAGAUAUUAGGAAGAACACCGGUGGCGAAGGCGGCUCACUGGAUCGGUACUGACGCUGAGGUGCGAAAGCGUGGGGAGCAAACAGGAUUAGAUACCCACGUAGUCCCUGAGCGGGCUGGCAAGGCGCAU